rnacentral:lncRNA from 1 species
AACUGGAAGUUCGGGGUUCUAUCUCCGGCAGAGUCGCUAGAUCUGUCACACCUCCUUUUUUACACCACCCCAAAAGGUAGUUUAAGGGAUUUUUUCCAAUUAAAGUGGCAUUGUUCGAAAUGGAAUUAUUUUAUUAAUUAUAGAGUCACCACUUGGAAUAAAUUACAAUGUUCUAAGUCAUCAAUUUAAUCGAGGAAGUUUUUAUUUUAAAAGUCUGCGAACCAGAAAUUCUAAGCAAAGAAUUCUGUUAACCCGUAGGAAGGUGUUAGGCACCCCCGGAUUUUGUGGUUCUAGUACGGUCGGUUAGCAAUU